AUGAUAAAAGCUAUCAUUUUUUUUCAUUCUUUCUUCUUCAACCGUGGGAAAGAACAGAAAAUAGCAGCCAUGGAUGAGCUCCAUUCGGCCAAGCUUUUAUGGCUUAUAUAGAUGAUGAAAAUUGAGACUUGGACCUAGAACGGAAAGAAAUCGAUUUAUGGACGAGUAUGUCCUUUUCACAUUUGUGGUAUCGAGGUAAGUUCAGUAUGUAAACAAUACCAUGCUAUACAUGUAUUUAAAUGUUAUCAUUACAUGAAUUGUACAGAUAUUAAUGUGUAUGUAAUUAAUAGAAAUAUGAUAAGACAAAGCCUUAAUAGGCGAGGAAAAAUCCGUUUGAACCUUAGGAAUAGAAUAGGAUCGAGUGACAUGUCACUAGGAAUUAUGAAUCUAGAUGACUAGCUCGAGUGAGCAUUGAAAUGUCAUGAGAUAUGAGGUAGCUUUAGCUACAAUUGAAGCACUUAUGUGCAAAGGCUUUUCCAGUAUCUAAUUAGUAUUCCAAGUGUUCAACGGGCAAUCCAAGGAAAGAGUUAAUGAUGGUCUCAAUGAGGUAAGUCAUUGGUGAGUAUGCACUCGAGUUAUGUUACAAGUUGUGCAAGUAUGUAUACUAAUCCUAUGAGAAUGCCUUGAUAUGUGAUGAUCUAUGAUGCAUAAUAUGUAUUCUUACCAUGAUGGAUAAAAUGGUGUUGUAUUAAUAUUAUGAACAAUGAUCAUCAAUGAGUAAUUUAGCCUUGACAGAUUUGAGUUACUGCAGUAGUGUAACUUUGAAAAUACACUAAAAAUAGUGGAAAAUGAGUUAGAGGCAGAAUAAAAUAUGGGAUUAAAGCUUAAUGAGUCUAUUUUCACAUGAAAGAAAUAGAGGAAGAAAAAGAAUUCCAUAUUGUUUGAUAUUUGAAUUCUUGUGAAACAGGGUCUGAAUGAAUUCGAGAUCCCCUGUUCUAAAUUUAGAAAUUCACCAAAAUUGUAAAAAAUUAUUAAGAGUUAUACCUUAUAUGAAUGGAUUCCUUAUUGAGUCUAUUUUAUGGGAAUAAACGGCAUGGUCGUUGGAAUUUUGUACAGGGAGAAAUUUGGUUUGUAGUGUACAGGGGUCAGAGUGGUCAUACCCUGAAACAGGGAGACUUUAACUAAUAAACUGUACUAUUUGGCUUAACCAAAAUUCUGGAAAUUUUAUGAAAAAAAGAAAAUAAGUCUAGUUUCAGGAAAAUUAACGGAACUUAAUUCGGAGUUUCGUAGCUCAGAUAUAAAUAAUUUAGUGACCGUUGCUCAGAAAGACAGCUUGUAGUGAACUUGAAAAUAUGUUGUAAACAUUGAUAAAACAAGUUAAUGAGUUGCUUACUGUUUUCAUAUGAACUUACUAAGCGAAAGCUUACCCCCCCUUCUUUCCCAUGUUUUCUAGAGUUUCCAAGUUAGCUCGGGUUGGAGGCCGUCAGAGAUAUUAUCACCCUAUCGAGUUAACGUUAUCGAGUAAGUAAACUCAAGUGAUUGAGUCUAUGGCAUGUAUAGGGUUUUAAUGUGAGUAUGUAAUAUUAUGAUUUAGCCAAAGGCGUUGGCUUGUUAUUAAGGUAGUAUUAGUCAUGUAAAUUGGCCUAUGUCGGCUAAUGACAUUAUGGGCCCAUAUGAUUAUUCUUAUGCAUGUAUGUUAUUAUCUCUUGUGAUGUGGCUUACAACAUGUAUGCCUAGAGAUUGAAUUGAGAUUCAUUGAUGAGCUAGUAACUAAUGCAGGAUUAAGUGAUUGGUAAAUAGUUAAUAAUGCUUCAUGAAUGGUUUGUGAGGUAAUGAUAGUUAUGUCUAGUAUGUGGUAAUGAUAUGGGCAAAUUCUAUAAUAUUUAUUGCAUAAGAAAAUAACUUGAGCAUAACAUGUUUGUAGAUGUUUAAGAGCUCAUUUAUGCCACGUUGUAUGUUAUUGGAUAAGUAUGUAUCUAUGUAUGUGGUGUGAGAGUGACAAAAGGCUUGAUAAUUAGCCUAUUUCUGGCCACACUACUGAGCACAUGGGCGUGUGAAGCCUUAACGCAAGAGAUUUUUCUAAGUUUUCAUGAGUUCUCGAUUGGGUCCCGAACCGCCUGAAUGCAUGUAUUGGGCCUCGUAAGCUCGCAUAAGGGACAGAUUGCAUGUGAAAAUAAAAGUUUUAAUUAUUUGAGAUUUCAUGGCCCUGUUUAGUAUGGAAGUGUUAGUAAAAGUCAGGUAGCACCUCGAACCCCGUCCCGGCGUUGGAUGCGGGCGAGGGGUGUUACAUCAAGACAACUUAAACCACAUGAAAGAAAUUACCCAGUACAUGAUCUUGAAUUAGCUGCUAUUGUAUUUGCGCUGAAGAUAUGGCGGCAUUACUUGUACGGUGAGAAAUGUCAUAUUUAUACUGAUCAUAAAAGCUUGAAAUAUUUGAUGACACAGAAAGAUUUGAAUUUGAGACAACGCAGGUGGCUUGAACUGAUAAAGGACUAUGAUUUGAUUAUUGAUUACCAUCCGGUAAGGCUAAUGUUGUAGUGAUGCUUUGGUAGGAAAUCUCUGUUUGCUUUACUGAACUAUGAAUACCGGUUAUCAUUGAUGAUGAUGGUUCAAUCCUAGCGAAUUAAGAACUAAACCGACAUUUUACAAAGCAAAUAUGUGAAGCUCGGAAGAAUGAUGAGAAGUUACAAGUUAAACGGGCACAGUGUGAGUCAGGUAAUGAUUCGAAUUUCAGAUUGGCUCUGAUGGUUGUUUAUUAUUCAGAGGUAGGGUAUGUGUACCUCAGAAUUCAGAGCUCAUACAGAAGAUUCUACGCGAGGCUCACAGCGGUAUUAUGUCUGUACAUCCGGGGAGUAAUAAAAUGUAUAAUGAUCUGAAAAAGAUGUACUUGUGGUCGGGAAUGAAACGUGAUAUCUCUGAGUUUGUAUCAAGGUGUUUAAUAUGUCAACAAGUUAAAGCUGAACAUCAGGUACCUUCGGGGUUACUUCAGCCAAUUACUAUACCAGAAUGGAAAUGGGAAAGAAUCAUUAUGGAUUUUGUAUCGGGGCUACCUUUGUCUCCGAGGAAAAAAGAUGCUAUUUGGGUGAUUGUUGACUGAUUAACAAAGUCAGCUCACUUUACUCCGGUACGUAUGGAUUAUUCUUUAGAUAAACUAGCUGAACUGUACAUAUCUAAGAUUGUCAGGCUACAUGGAGUGCCUGCCUCCAUUAUAUCAGAUAGAGAUCCCCGAUUUACGUCUCGUUUCUGGGACAAAUUGCAAGAAGCCUUGGGUACUUAGUUGUAUUUCAGCACUACAUUUCAUCCUCAGACAGAUGGUCAAUCUAAGCGUGUAAUUCAAGUAUUGGAAGAUAUGCUCCUAUGUUGUAUACUAGAGUUUGAAGGUAAUUGGGAGAGGUGUCUGCCUUUGAUUGAAUUUGCUUACAAUAACGAUUAUCGAUCUAGUAUUAAAAUGGCUCGUAUGAAGCUUUGUAUGGUAGAAAAUGUAGAACAAUUUAUAUUGGAUGAGCUUAGUGAAAGGAAGAUACAUGGGGUUGAUUUGAUCCUGGAAACAGAAGAAAAAGUAAAGGUUAUUCGGGAUAGUCCAAAAGCAGCUUCCGAUCGUCAAAAAUCAUAUGCCGACCUUAAACGAAAAGAGAUUGAAUUUCAAGUCGGUGACAAGGUAUUUCUGAAAAUGUCUCUUUGGAAGAAAGUCCUCUGAUUCGGUCAAAAGGGUAAACUGAGUCCAAUAUUUAUCGGGCCUUAUGAAAUCAUAGAAAGAAUUGGACCGGUCGCUUAUCGAUUGGCAUUACCACCGGAACUUGAUAGAAUUCAUAAUGUUUUUCAUGUAUCUAUGUUACGACGAUAUCGAUCAGAUCCUUCAAAUGUUAUUUCUCAUACAGAAGUAGAGAUUCAACCGGAUAUGACUUACAGUGAAUAACCAGUCAAGAUAUUGGCACGGGAGACAAAAGAGCUUAAAAAUAAAAAGAUAAAUUUGGUGAAAGUAUUGUGGCAAAAGCACGGGAUUGAGGAAGCGACGUGGGAACCGGAGGAGGCAAUGAGGAAACAAUACCCAAACCUCUUUACUGAUUCGGAAGAUUCAAAUACGAAGCUAGGUCGAGGAAAGGAAAAAGUUCUGGAUUAGUAGAUUUUUAUUGUUUACAAACAAGCAUCAAGUGUUAUGAGCUCGGAGGUCGGAUUUGGUCGAAGACACAUCACACUGUCAACCUUAGGAUUUCGGUAUAUAAAGAAACUUUAUUUUGGAAAUCAAUGGCAUGUAUAAGCUAACAAAGUAAAUGUUAACGUGAAAUGAAUGUAAAGUUAGCCAUUAGUAUGGUUAACAAACCUGGUUUUAGAUAUGUGAUGACGUUAUCUUAUAAAUAUGCAUGAAUUUAUCUUGAAAA